AUUGAACGCUGGCGGCAGGCCUAAUACAUGCAAGUCGAACGGUAACAUAAAGAAGCUUGCUUCUUUUGAUGACGAGUGGCGGACGGGUGAGUAAUAUUUGGGAAACUACCUGAUAGAGGGGGACAACAGUUGGAAACGACUGCUAAUACCGCAUAUAGCCUGAGGGUGAAAGCAGCAAUGCGCUAUCAGAUGUGCCCAAACGGGAUUAGCUAGUAGGUGAGGUAAAGGCUCACCCAGGCGACGAUCUCUAGCUGGUCUGAGAGGAUGAUCAGCCACAUUGGGACUGAGACACGGCCCAGACUCCUACGGGAGGCAGCAGUAGGGAAUAUUGCACAAUGGAGGAAACUCUGAUGCAGCCAUGCCGCGUGUGUGAAGAAGGCCUUCGGGUUGUAAAGCACUUUC
rnacentral:rRNA from 1 species